rnacentral:lncRNA from 1 species
UGGGAGAAUUUCAAAGGAAAUAGGAAGACACUGUGGUGGGGCUUUCUCUUAAACUAUUUUUAUAUAUUUCAUCAACUAUAGCCACGAACACAGCAGGGGGUGUGAGUAUUUGUGUUUUCGAGAGGGGGAGGGGAAGCUAGGGAGGAGGAGGCCCAAGAACAGGAGAGCAAAGCUCCAGGUUUGCCUUUGGAGUGUCUUUGGUAAGGAAGAAGCACCAUCUGGGGGUUUCAUGACUGGGUGUGAGCUUGAACUCGACUGGACAGCAGCCAUCUCUCAGAGCCGUUCUCAGCUGCCUUCAUCAGUCUCCUGGACAGCUGCAGCAUCCGCAGGACCAUUUGCAAGAGCUUUUCCUAGGGGAGGGUGGAAGCAGAGGAGACCUGAUGGGUGUGUGGAAGCUGAUCAUCAGAACACGUUGCCCACCCCCUGGGUGUUUCCUACUCCAGUAAUCAUAAGCAACCAUCCCAGUUACCAUUAGGCAUCCCAGGGUCCGGCCUUCCUCCAGAGAAGGGGAAGGGACUCUCUUUUGUCUCCUGGGAAAUGUCCCUGGGGAUAAGAACCUAACUUUGUUGUGUGGGUGAUGUAUAUUUGAUACCUGCCGGUGUCUACAGGGCUCAGCAAUGGCAGGAAGAACAGAGAGGUGGGCGUGGCCCAGAGACAAGGAGAGUAAGAAGCCAGGUCACAGAGGACAAGUCAGAGCCCUCUGUCCCAGACAGGAAGCUGAAUCUCUUCAUUCCCAUCCAUUGCGUGCUUUCUGGUGCUCUGUGGGAAGGGGCACUAAGCCCCUACCCCCUACCCCCCCAGGUCUGGGAGUAUGUACAUUCUCCAGAGGUCCUGGGUCUCAACCUACGGGAUGCCUCCCUCGUAGCUCAAGGAUGAUGUUCCAAAGGUCGCAGCCGCAGAUCUCCCACAACUGAAUCACGAAGAAGCUUGGAUGUGUACAGAGGUGUUGGGAGGCAUCCAAGGUGCUCUGGAUGCAGUUCCAGAAAAACUCUCUAGAAUAUGGAAGCUCGUUGUUUCAGCGGAAGGAGAUGAAGGAGGAAUGAGACCAAGACGAGGGAUUGGGAGGAAUGGAAGCCACUGAAGAAGUGGGCACACGAAGGGAACUUGAUCCUGAUCAGGAAGGAGGAACAGAAAUAGAGCAGGGCCAGUGCCCCUGCCUCCCCUGACUGUGAUCGACAAUAUCUGUCCUUGGUACACACCUCUGCAGAAGCAACUGAGCAGCUAUCUGCCUCCGAGCGUCUGCAGAGGGUACCGAGAUGCAGAGAGGAGAGAGGGAUGGAGUGCAGGACCCCAAGCCAGCAGCUCCACUCCAAUGUCAAGACUGCUUGAUUUGCUAAGUAUCUGAAGGGGAGGGAGGCAGGUCAGACUAGCAAUGGGCAAAUAGGGAGAGUCUUUGCUGGCUGUCAGGCUCUGUGCUAUGGGUGCUGUAAGUGUAUCUGCUACUCUUCUGUCCAUUGUAUCAGAAUUCAUGACAGUGGCAACUUAAAAAUGAAGGUCUACUUGUGUAUCUUUUUUUUUUUUUAAAGGUUUACUUAUUUAUGUGAGUACACCUUAGCUAUCUUCAGACACUCCAGUAGAGGGCAUCAGAUCUCAUUACAGAUGGUUGUGAGCCACCAUAUGGUUGCUGGGACUUGAACUCAGAACCUUCAGAAGACCAGUCACUGUGCUUAACAGCUGAGCCAUCUCUCCAGCCCCUACUUGCGUAUCUUAAGGAUACAGUCCAUUGAAGUGGGGAAGGCGUGAUGGCAGGAGCAGGAGGCAGUCUGGCCAUACUGCAUCUGUAUUAGGAACACAGAGAAGGAAAGGGAGGUAGAGAUGGAUGUGGGAGAAGGAGAGGGGGAGGUAGAGAUGGAUGUGGGGGAGGAGG